GUCGACAGCCAUAUCACCCUGAAAGCACCAGAUCUCAUUUGAUUUCGGAAACUAAGCAGGGUCAGGCCUGGUUAGUACUUGGAUGGGAGACCGCCUGGGAUGGGAAUACCGGGUGCUGUAGGCU
rnacentral:rRNA from 1 species